UGGUGCUUGCUUAAAGUUCUUCAAUCGUCUUUUCCCUCAACCCUAAUAUGAUUUCCAUAUUCUACCUAUUCCAUACAUACAUAUAUUUUGCGCUCAAAAAUCUUCAAAAGUUUCGGUGAUGGGCAAGCCAAGUUCAUGGUCAGAUUCGUCGACCAAGGCCGAUCGCAAGUUUGAAAAGAAGCUCGAGUUUUAUUCCAAGGUUAGAGAUACUGUUGCCACCUUGACUGCCCAAAAGACUAUUGCCAAG